GAAUGCUGACAUAAGUAACGAUAAAGCGGGUGAAAAGCCCGCUCGCCGGAAGACCAAGGGUUCCUGUCCAACGUUAAUCGGGGCAGGGUGAGUCGACCCCUAAGGCGAGGCCGAAAGGCGUAGUCGAUGGGAAACGGGUUAAUAUUCCCGUACUUGGUGUUACUGCGAAGGGGGGACGGAGAAGGCUAUGUUGGCCGGGCGACGGUUGUCCCGGUUUAAGCGUGUAGGUGUGUGUUCCAGGUAAAUCCGGUUCACUUUAACACUGAGGCGUGACGACGAGGCACUACGGUGCUGAAGCAACAAAUGCCCUGCUUCCAGGAAAAGCCUCUAAGCAUCAGGUAACACGAAAUCGUACCCCAAACCGACACAGGU
rnacentral:rRNA from 1 species